UACGAAGGGGGCUAGCGUUGUUCGGAAUUACUGGGCGUAAAGCGCACGUAGGCGGAUAUUUAAGUCAGGGGUGAAAUCCCAGAGCUCAACUCUGGAACUGCCUUUGAUACUGGGUAUCUCGAGUAUGGAAGAGGUGAGUGGAAUUCCGAGUGUAGAGGUGAAAUUCGUAGAUAUUCGGAGGAACACCAGUGGCGAAGGCGGCUCACUGGUCCAUUACUGACGCUGAGGUGCGAAAGCGUGGGAGCAAACAGG
rnacentral:rRNA from 1 species